rnacentral:rRNA from 1 species
GAUGAACGCUGGCGGCGUGCCUAAUACAUGCAAGUCGAGCGAACGGACGAGAAGCUUGCUUCUCUGAUGUUUGCGGCGGACGGGUGAGUAACACGUGGAUAACCUACCUAUAAGACUGGGAUAACUUCGGGAAACCGGAGCUAAUACCGGAUAAUAUUUUGAACCGCAUGGUUCAAAAGUGAAAGACGGUCUUGCUGUCACUUAUAGAUGGAUCCGCGCUGCAUUAGCUAGUUGGUAAGGUAACGGCUUACCAAGGCAACGAUGCAUAGCCGACCUGAGAGGGUGAUCGGCCACACUGGAACUGAGACACGGUCCAGACUCCUACGGGAGGCAGCAGUAGGGAAUCUUCCGCAAUGGGCGAAAGCCUGACGGAGCAACGCCGCGUGAGUGAUGAAGGUCUUCGGAUCGUAAAACUCUGUUAUUAGGGAAGAACAUAUGUGUAAGUAACUGUGCACAUCUUGACGGUACCUAAUCAGAAAGCCACGGCUAACUACGU